GACUCUCGGCAACGGAUAUCUCGGCUCUCGCAUCGAUGAAGAACGUAGCGAAAUGCGAUACCUGGUGUGAAUUGCAGAAUCCCGCGAACCAUCNGAACGUAGCGAAAUGCGAUACCUGGUGUGAAUUGCAGAAUCCCGCGAACCAUCGAGUCUUUGAACGCAAGUUGCGCCCGAGGCCACUCGGCCGAGGGAACGCCUGCCUGGGCGUCA
rnacentral:rRNA from 1 species